rnacentral:rRNA from 1 species
GUCCACGCUGUAAACGAUGAGAACUAGGUGUCGUGGGUGUUGACCCCCGCGGUGCCGUAGCUAACGCAUUAAGUUCUCCGCCUGGGAAGUACGGUCGCAAGACUAAAACUCAAAGGAAUUGACGGGGUCCCGCACAAGCGGUGGAGCAUGUGGUUUAAUUCGACGCAACGCGCAGAACCUUACCUGGUCUUGACAUCCUUCGAAGUUGGCCCAAAAGCCGACGUGCCCGCAAGGGAGCGGAGAGACAGGUGCUGCAUGGCUGUCGU